AGAGUUUGAUCAUGGCUCAGAUUGAACGCUGGCGGCAUGCUUUACACAUGCAAGUCGAACGGCAGCACGGGUGCUUGCACCUGGUGGCGAGUGGCGGACGGGUGAGUAAUGUAUCGGAACGUGUCCUAAAGUGGGGGAUAACGCAUCGAAAGAUGUGCUAAUACCGCAUAAUCUCUGAGGAGAAAAGCAGGGGAUCGUAAGACCUUGCGCUUUUGGAGCGGCCGUUAUCUGAUUAGCUAGUUGGUGGGGUAAAGGCCCACCAAGGCUUCGAUCAGUAGUUGGUCUGAGAGGACGACCAGCCACACUGGAACUGAGACACGGUCCAGACUCCUACGGGAGGCAGCAGUGGGGAAUUUUGGACAAUGGGGGAAACCCUGAUCCAGCCAUGCCGCGUGAGUGAAGAAGGCCUUCGGGUUGUAAAGCUCUUUCAGUCGGGAAGAAAAGAUUGUAACUAAUAAUUACAAUUAAUGACGGUACCGAAAGAAGAAGCACCGGCUAACUACGUGCCAGCAGCCGCGGUAAUACGUAGGGUGCGAGCGUUAAUCGGAAUUACUGGGCGUAAAGGGUGCGCAGGCGGUUUUGUAAGUCAGAUGUGAAAUCCCCGGGCUCAACCUGGGAACUGCGUUUGAAACUACAAGACUAGAGUGUAGCAGAGGGGGGUGGAAUUCCAUGUGUAGCAGUGAAAUGCGUAGAGAUAUGGAGGAACACCGAUGGCGAAGGCAGCCCCCUGGGUUAACACUGACGCUCAGGCACGAAAGCGUGGGGAGCAAACAGGAUUAGAUACCCUGGUAGUCCACGCCCUAAACGAUGUCAACUAGUUGUCGGAUCUUAUUAGAUUUGGUAACGUAGCUAACGCGUGAAGUUGACCGCCUGGGGAGUACGGUCGCAAGAUUAAAACUCAAAGGAAUUGACGG
rnacentral:rRNA from 1 species